rnacentral:rRNA from 1 species
GUCUAUGGCCAUACCCUGAACGCACCCGAUCUCGUCUGAUCUCAGAAGCUAAGCAGGGUCGGGCCUGGUUAGUACAUGGAUGGGAGAAAAUACAGGUGAAGAUA